rnacentral:piRNA from 1 species
UCAACACUACAAUCAGACGGUGCGGCU